GGGGAUACUUUUAUUCUCAGAGCUGUAACACUUACAGGAGGCUUCAAGAGAAGAGGAGACCAGGGGCCCUGGACUCUUUAACUGCUUCCAGGAGCUUUGAGAAGUUGACUGCCUGCUGAGCUUGUUUUGCAACUCAAUCUAGCUGAAGCAAAAGAUGGGUCUGGAGGCUUUCCCUGUAUAAACACAGUGCUGAAAAUUAAACUUUGAGUCUUGAUCAGAAA